rnacentral:tRNA from 2 species
CGGGGCGUGGCGCAGCCUGGUAGCGCACCUGCCUUGGGCGCAGGGGGUCGGAGGUUCAAAUCCUCUCGCCCCGACCA